GUGAGGAAUAUUGGUCAAUGGGCGGGAGCCUGAACCAGCCAAGUCGCGUGAAGGAAGAAGGAUCUAUGGUUCGUAAACUUCUUUUGCAGGGGAAUAAAGUGCAGGACGUGUCCUGUUUUGUAUGUACCCUGAGAAUAAGGAUCGGCUAACUCCGUGCCAGCAGCCGCGGUAAUACGGAGGAUCCGAGCGUUAUCCGGAUUUAUUGGGUUUAAAGGGUGCGUAGGCGGAAGAAUAAGUCAGUGGUGAAAGUUUGCAGCUCAAAUGUAAAAUUGCCGUUGAAAAUGUUUUUCUUGAGUGUAAAUGAGGUAGGCGGAAUGUGUUGUGUAGCGGUGAAAUGCUUAGAUAUGACACAGAACACCGAUUGCGAAGGCAGCUUACUAAGAUACAACUGACGCUGAGGCACGAAAGCGUGGGGAUCGAACAGGAUUAGAUACCCCAGUAGUCC
rnacentral:rRNA from 1 species